CAGCAGCCGCGGUAAUACGAGGGGUGCAAGCGUUAUUCGGAUUGAUUGGGUGUAAAGGGUGUGCAGACGGCUUAUUAAGUCACUUGUUAAAUUCUUCGGCCUAACUGAAGGUCUGCAAGUGAUACUGAUGAGCUAGAGGGUGGAAGAGAGAAGUGGAAUUCUCGGAGUAGCGGUAAAAUGCGUAGAUCUCGAGAGGAACACCAAUGGCGAAGGCAGCUUCUUGGUCCAUUCCUGACGUUCAUACACGAAAGCGUGGGGAGCAAACAGGAUUAGAUACCCGCGUAGUCCCUGUCUCUUAUAA
rnacentral:rRNA from 1 species